rnacentral:snRNA from 1 species
GGAUGUGAGGGUGAUCUAGCUGUGAUAUCUGACACCAGGGUUGAUUUAGCUGAUCUGGCUAGCUAGGCUAGUGUCCUUUUCCUUCCUCCCUGCUCCUUGUGUGUCCCUCCAGAAGCUGUACAGUCUGAUGAAGAGGACAACCUUCCUCAACAGAGAAGAGCUGUUAUUUGGUAAGAGUACAUGAGCAGCUGUGCUCCCCUGCUAGAAUCUCCAAGCAAAUCUCUCACUCUAAUUUUUUGGAUGUAGUUUCCCUUACUUACAUUAGCAGAUCUUGGUUCUUACUG